GUGAAUCAUCGAAUCUUUGAACGCACAUUGCGCCUCCCGUUACAGGGAGGCAUGCCUGUCUGAGCGUCAUUUAAACUCAAAUCCCGUCCCGGAAUCCCCGGGGCGGCGUCUUGGGCUCUCGUCGACGUCUGCCGCGUCGUCGUGGCCUCGAAAGCAUCGGUCUCUGUUGAGCGGGCGAGAUCCACUAGGACGAAAGGACCGUUCGGACAUGACCUUAAAUUCAGACCCUGAAUUUGACCUCAGAUCAGGUAGGGCUACCGCCUGAACUUAAGCAUAUCAAUAAGCGGAGGA
rnacentral:misc_RNA from 1 species